rnacentral:rRNA from 1 species
AGUGACAAAGUUCAACGGCCGCGGUACCCUAACCGUGCGAAGGUAGCAUAAUCACUUGUUCUUUAAAUGAGGACUUGUAUCAACGGCACUACGAGGGCUAUACUGUCUCCUUUUUCUAAUCAGUGAAACUGAUCUCCCCGUGAAGAAGCGGGGAUCAAAAUAUAAGACGAGAAGACCCCAUGGAGCUUUAAACUUACCACACACCUCUGUGGUACCACACCAUUUAACACAAGAGACCUGCGUGCUAGUUUUAGGUUGGGGGGACCACGGAGUAUAAUUAAACCUCCACAACAAAUGGGCUAAUACCCUUAUCCACGAGACACAACUCUAAGAAUUACUAAACUAAUGCUUAUGACCCGAUAUUCGAUCAAUGAACCAAGUUACCCUGGGGAUAACAGCGCAAUCUACUUCAAGAGCCCCUAUCGACAAGUAGGUUUACGACCUCGAUGUUGGAUCAGGGUAUCCCGGUGGUGCAGCCGCUACCGAUGGUUCGUUUGUUCAACGAUUAAAACCCUACGUGA